UUGUUGCAGGUGAGAAUUGGAUGGAACUGAACCAUCUUUUUCUCCAUGGUUAAUGAGGGUUCAGUUUCCUCCAAUAUCUCACAUUCAACCA
rnacentral:pre_miRNA from 1 species